UCCUACGGGAGGCAGCAGUAGGGAAUCUUCCGCAAUGGACGAAAGUCUGACGGAGCAACGCCGCGUGAGCGAUGAAGGCCUUCGGGUCGUAAAGCUCUGUUGUUAGGGAAGAACAAGUAUCGGAGUAACUGCCGGUACCUUGACGGUACCUAACCAGAAAGCCACGGCUAACUACGUGCCAGCAGCCGCGGUAAUACGUAGGUGGCAAGCGUUGUCCGGAAUUAUUGGGCGUAAAGCGCGCGCAGGCGGUCCUUUAAGUCUGAUGUGAAAGCCCACGGCUCAACCGUGGAGGGUCAUUGGAAACUGGGGGACUUGAGUGCAGAAGAGGAAAGCGGAAUUCCACGUGUAGCGGUGAAAUGCGUAGAGAUGUGGAGGAACACCAGUGGCGAAGGCGGCUUUCUGGUCUGUAACUGACGCUGAGGCGCGAAAGCGUGGGGAGCAAACAGGAUUAGAUACCCUGGUAGUCCACGCCGUAAACGAUGAGUGCUAAGUGUUAGAGGGUUUCCGCCCUUUAGUGCUGCAGCUAACGCAUUAAGCACUCCGC
rnacentral:rRNA from 2 species